GGGAGCAGUUGGUGCCGCAGCAGCUGGAGUGAGGCAAGGUGCAGAGACUGGGGGAGUGAAGGUGUCUGGUGCCAGUGUCUACGGGACCGGAUUGAUCGCCACUGGUUGGAGGUGGCAGCGGCGUGGUGACGGAGACAAGGCUGGAAAUGGACAAAUACCUUCUGGGUCAUGCCACUCCUUUGCAGAUACUUGCAGACAAAAAAUACAGAAGGGAAAGUGCUUCAGUUGUCGAUGAAUUCUUUGAAGCUGAAAAGCCGCCCCAGGCUCCAUACAGUCUAAACAUCAAUGUAAUUUUGCCAGACACGUCUCACCUUCGUACAGGUUUAUACCGGCCAUCAAAGACUUUCACUGUACUCCCACAAAUAAAAACUGAGCCAGAUAUUGAAUACCCCCAGUCAUGCUCUGCUUCCCUGACCCAAACUCUGCCAGAUUUCACCAGUGUGUUUAGUAUGCCCCAUUCUGUAGCAGUCAACAACAUAUUUAUAAAGCAGGAAGCAUCUUCAGAAGUUCCACUGUCAACCAGUGACACACCGCAGACUCAUCUUUACCAUAUGUCUGUAGCCAAUGAUGCACUAAACUUGGUCCAGUCUAAUGGAAACACAUCUAUAGUAAAUGCAGUUAAUGGAACUACCAUGACAACAGUCAACAGAAGCCCACCUUCUCUGACACAGUCUACAAGGCAAAACGUUGGAAAACAGUUCCAGUGCUUGAGUCAAGAUGGUGUUCUGGUUUCUGGGCAGCUUUACCAGUCUUCAUCUGUCACUUUACCACCUUCACCACCUAAUUCUCAGCCAGGGAGUCCUGAAAACCAGCCAGAAAUGAUCAACACAAUAUCUCCACCUCCACCAUAUGAGGCUACAUUUGGACUGGAACUAGUACAAGCCCAACCAGUUCACACUGUGCAAAAUCCAUUGGUGUCGGUGAUACCACAAGGACAAGUGAUUAUGGCAGUCCCCAGGUACAAUCGACGAAAUAACCCAGAACUAGAGAAAAGACGAAUCCAUCACUGUGAUUAUCCAGGCUGUACAAAAGUCUAUACCAAGAGUUCACACCUCAAGGCACAUCAAAGAACACACACAGGUGAGAAGCCAUAUAAAUGUGCCUGGGAGGGCUGUGACUGGCGAUUUGCCCGUUCUGACGAGCUGACAAGGCACUACCGCAAGCAUACAGGUGCCAAGCCCUUCAAGUGUGCAGCCUGCGGACGCUGCUUCUCUCGCUCAGAUCACCUUGCUUUGCACAUGAAGCGACAUCAGAACUAGGCCUCACUGACAAGACAGUAUAUUGUAUAUUAUUAUUUUUUGUAAGGAGUGGUCUCAAAGAACAAUAUGACUAAAACUGACCAAAUGGCUACAAAAACAAAACAAUCAUCAAUGAGGAUCCACGUGGACUACAAUUAGGAAUAGUAACCUGGCGAAGCAUGGCGGUACACUAACUGGGGUUCCCCAUCACUUUACGAAGAGAACGACACCAACAAAAGUAAAGAAAUCCUCAUGUCAACCUUUUUCCAUGUCGACCUAGUACAUGUCGACCUAGUGACCAUGUCGACCUAAUGCAUUUCAACUAAUAGUGGUAAACCUAAUGACUGUCGACCUAAGUGUGGUUGACCUAACGACCCAUACCAAGCCUUAA